CUAGUAGCUGGUUCCCUCCGAAGUUUCCCUCAGGAUAGCUGGAGCCCGGUGCAGUUUUAUCAGGUAAAGCGAAUGAUUAGAGGUCUUGGGGCCGAAACGGCUUCAACCUAUUCUCAAACUUUAAAUGGGUAAGAAGCCCGGCUUGCUCGGUUGAAGUCGGGCGCAGAAUGCUGGGGCUCCCAGUGGGCCAUUUUUGGUAAGCAGAACUGGCGAUGUGGGAUGAACCGAAAGUCGGGUUAAGGUGCCGGAAUCGACGCUCAUCAGAUCCCAUGAAAGGUGUUGGUUGAUACAGACAGCAGGACGGUGGCCAUGGAAGUCGGAAUCCGCCAAGGAGUGUGUAAAAACUCACCUGCCGAAUCAACUAGCCCUGAAAAUGGAUGGCGCUAAAGUGUCGUACCCAUACCCGACUGUCGGGUCGAGACGCGUGACCCGACAUGUAGGAGGGCGCGGCGGUGGCCGUGCAGCCUCUGGCGCGAGCCUGGGUGAAGCC
rnacentral:rRNA from 1 species